GACGAACGCUGGCGGCGUGCUUAACACAUGCAAGUCGAACGAUGAGGCAAAGAAUCGCAGCUUCGGCAGAAAUUCAUUUCGGAUUAGUGGCAGACGGGUGGGUAACGCGUGAGCAACCUACCUCUUACAAAGGGAUAGCCUCGGGAAACCGGGAUUAAUACCAUAUAACAUUGCGACGAAGCAUUUCGAUGCAAUCAAAGCUACGGCGGUAAGAGAUGGGCUCGCGUCCCAUUAACCGGAUGGUGAGGUAACGGCUCACCAUAGUGACGAUGGGUAACCGGCCUGAGAGGGUGAACGGUCACACUGGAACUGAGACACGGUCCAGACUCCUACGGGAGGCAGCAGUGGGGAAUAUUGCACAAUGGAGGGAACUCUGAUGCAGCGACGCCGCGUGAGGGAUGAAGGAAUUCGUUUCGUAAAACUCUGUUCUAUGGGAAGAAAAGGACUGUACCAUAGGAGAAAGCUCCGGCUAAAUACG
rnacentral:rRNA from 1 species